rnacentral:tRNA from 1 species
GGGACUAACGCUGGGAGGUUUUUGAGUCUCUUUUCUGA